UGGGGAAUAUUGGACAAUGGGGGCAACCCUGAUCCAGCCAUGCCGCGUGUGUGAAGAAGUCCUUUUGGUUGUAAAGCACUUUAAGCAGUGAAGAAGACUCCAUGGUUAAUACCCAUGGACGAUGACAUUAGCUGCAGAAUAAGCACCGGCUAACUCUGUGCCAGCAGCCGCGGUAAUACAGAGGGUGCAAGCGUUAAUCGGAAUUACUGGGCGUAAAGCGAGCGUAGGUGGCUUGAUAAGUCAGAUGUGAAAGCCCCGGGCUUAACCUGGGAACGGCAUCUGAUACUGUUAGGCUAGAGUAGGUGAGAGGAAGGUAGAAUUCCAGGUGUAGCGGUGAAAUGCGUAGAGAUCUGGAGGAAUACCGAUGGCGAAGGCAGCCUUCUGGCAUCAUACUGACACUGAGGUUCGAAAGCGUGGGUAGCAAACA
rnacentral:rRNA from 1 species